rnacentral:misc_RNA from 1 species
AGCUACGUACCGCGUAUACGCGGUACGUAGCU